rnacentral:rRNA from 1 species
CCUACGGGAGGCAGCAGUGAGGAAUAUUGGUCAAUGGACGUAAGCCUGAACCAGCCAAGUCGCGUGAGGGAUGAAGGUUCUAUGGAUCGUAAACCUCUUUUAUAAGGGAAUAAAGUGUGGGACGUGUCCUAUUUUGUAUGUACCUUAUGAAUAAGGAUCGGCUAACUCCGUGCCAGCAGCCGCGGUAAUACGGAGGAUCCGAGCGUUAUCCGGAUUUAUUGGGUUUAAAGGGUGCGUAGGUGGGCUUUUAAGUCAGCGGUGAAAGUCUGUGGCUCAACCGUAGAAUUGCCGUUGAUACUGGGGGGCUUGAGUAUGUUUGAGGCAGGCGGAAUGCGUGGUGUAGCGGUGAAAUGCUUAGAUAUCACGCAGAACCCCGAUUGCGAAGGCAGCCUGCCAAGCCAUGACUGACGCUGAUGCACGAAAGCGUGGGGAUCAAACAGGAUUAGAUACCCUUGUAGUC